UGGGAUUGCGGAAUUGUAGAAGGGUUGAACGCCUGAUACGACCAUGCCCCGGGCACACUUUUGGAUCAGCUCCCUAAGCAUUGUUUGCAAAUCAUGCGAGCUGAAUUAGUUCAAUUUCAUUUCGUUAAGCUCCGUUUAGCUCGUUUCCAGCUCACUCGAGCUCAAGUCAACUCAUUCAAGCUCAAUUCAGCUCAAUCUUAACCUAA
rnacentral:lncRNA from 1 species